rnacentral:rRNA from 1 species
UGUAUAAUGGGUCAGCGACUUAUAUUCUGUAGCAAGGUUAACCGAAUAGGGGAGCCGAAGGGAAACCGAGUCUUAACUGGGCGUUAAGUUGCAGGGUAUAGACCCGAAACCCGGUGAUCUAGCCAUGGGCAGGUUGAAGGUUGGGUAACACUAACUGGAGGACCGAACCGACUAAUGUUGAAAAAUUAGCGGAUGACUUGUGGCUGGGGGUGAAAGGCCAAUCAAACCGGGAGAUAGCUGGUUCUCCCCGAAAGCUAUUUAGGUAGCGCCUCGUGAAUUCAUCUCCGGGGGUAGAGCACUGUUUCGGCAAGGGGGUCAUCCCGACUUACCAACCCGAUGCAAACUGCGAAUACCGGAGAAUGUUAUCACGGGAGACACACGGCGGGUGCUAACGUCCGUCGUGA